UACGUAGGGUGCAAGCGUUGUCCGGAAUUAUUGGGCGUAAAGAGCUCGUAGGCGGUUUGUCGCGUCUGCUGUGAAAACUCGGGGCUUAACCCCGGGCCUGCAGUGGGUACGGGCAGACUAGAGUGCGGUAGGGGAGACUGGAAUUCCUGGUGUAGCGGUGAAAUGCGCAGAUAUCAGGAAGAACACCGAUGGCGAAGGCAGUUCUCUGGGCCACUACUGACGCUGAGAAGCGAAAGCAUGGGGAGCGAACAGG
rnacentral:rRNA from 1 species